GAUGGGCUUGGUAGCGUGAGCUUGUAACCCAAGUGGGAGCAAUAAGUUUGUGGGAUAUAUAAUUGGUCUUACCUUGAUGGUUGGGCUUGGGGUGCUAUUUACUGGCUUGCCCGUUCUAAGUGGUGAGUUGGGCCAUGGAGUCUUUGCAAAGGCAGAGGCCUUUGCCCCCCAAUCGCCCUUAGAUUGGGGGGCACUGCGUUAGGCUGGUUUCACAGAGCAGCGAACACUUCCUCCUCCCUGCAGUGGAAGGAUAACGUGCCGGAACAUCCAAAGUCUGAUGGGUUUGUCCAAAUUGAACCACUGUCUUU
rnacentral:SRP_RNA from 1 species